rnacentral:rRNA from 1 species
GGAAAGUUUCGCGAAACAGGGUGAUAGCCCCGUACACGAAACGGUUAGUUGGACAUAUUAAGUAGGGCGGGGCACGUGAAACCUUGUCUGAAGAUCGGGGGACCAUCCUCGAAGGCUAAAUACUCGUUAUCGACCGAUAGUGAACCAGUACCGUGAGGGAAAGGCGAAAAGAACCCCGGAGAGGGGAGUGAAAUAGAACCUGAAACCGUGUGCAUACAAGCAGUCGGAGCGGACAUGUUCCGUGACGGCGUACCUUUUGUAUAAUGGGUCAGCGACUUUGUCUCUCGAGCAAGCUUAAGCCGGUAGGUGUAGGCGCAGCGAAAGCGAGUCUGAAUAGGGCGACGAGUUCGAGGGAUAAGACCCGAAACCGAGUGAUCUAGCCAUGUGCAGGUUGAAGGUGCGGUAACACGCACUGGAGGACCGAACCCACGUCUGUUGAAAAAGACGGGGAUGACGUGUGGCUAGGGGUGAAAGGCCAAUCAAACUCGGAGAUAGCUGGUUCUCCGCGAAAUCUAUUUAGGUAGAGCGUCUCGUAUUACCUUCGGGGGUAGAGCACUGGAUGGGCUAGGGGGUCCCAACGACUUACCAAACCUAACCAAACUCCGAAUACCGAAGAGUAGAGCGAGGCAGACACACUGCGGGUGCUAAGGUCCGUAGUGGAGAGGGAAACAGCCCUGACCGCCAGCUAAGGUCCCUAAGUUAUCACUAAGUGGGAAACGAUGUGGGAAUGCUUAGACAACCAGGAGGUUGGCUUAGAAGCAGCCAUCCUUUAAAGAAAGCGUAACAGCUCACUGGUCAAGCGUUCCUGCGCGGAAAAUGUAACGGGGCUUAAGUGAUACACCGAAGCUGCGGACUCGAAAGAGUGGUAGCGGAGCGUUCUGUAAGUCUGUGAAGGUGGCCUGCGAGGGCUGCUGGAGAUAUCAGAAGUGAGAAUGCUGACAUGAGUAGCGAUAAAGAGGGUGAGAGGCCCUCUCGCCGAAAGUCCAAGGGUUCCUGCGCAAUGCUAAUCAGCGCAGGGUAAGCCGGCCCCUAAGGCGAGGCCGAAAGGCGUAGUCGAUGGGAACCAGGUUAAUAUUCCUGGGCCAGCGGAGAGUGACGGGUAAUGAACGUUGUGCGACCUUACUGGAUUGGUCGUGCGGCCAAAGAGCCCCUGGAAAUAGCUCCCGCAUUGAGACCGUACCCCAAACCGACACAGGUGGACUGGUAGAGCAUACCAAGGCGCUUGAGAGAACU